rnacentral:rRNA from 1 species
CCUACGGGUGGCAGCAGUAGGGAAUAUUGCUCAAUGGGGGAAAGCCUGAAGCAGCAACGCCGCGUGGAGGAUGAAGGUCCUAGGAUUGGAAACCCUCUUUGUUAGAGAAGAUAAUGAUGGUAUGUAACGAAUAAGCACUGGCUAACUCCGUGCCAGCAGCGGCGGUAGUACGGGGGUUGCAACGGUUAAUCGGAGUCACUGGGCGUAAAGGGGGCGUAGGUGGGAUAGCAAGUCAGAUGUGAAAUCCGAUGGCUUAACCAUAGAACUGCAGUUGAAACUGUUAGUCUUGAGUAUGGGAGAGGUAGGUGGAAUUCUUGGUGUAGGGGUGAAAUCCGUAGAGAUCAAGAAGAAUACUCAUUGCGAAGGC